rnacentral:antisense_RNA from 1 species
UGGUGUUAUAUUUAAUAUUGGGUUCAAUUAUUAUACAUUUUGAAUGACACAGCCUAUAAAUUCACCUCUCAUUAAGGAAAGGUGUUAUAAACACAGAAAUAGCCUAACUUUUAUAUUUUAAUACUUUUUUUUUUUUUUUUUGAGACAGGGUCUUGCUCUGUCACUGGCUGGAGUGCAGUGGUGUGAUCUGGGCUCACUGCAGCCUUGACCUCGCAGGCUCAGGUGAUCCUCCCUAGUAGCUGAGGCAGGAGAAUUGCUUGAACUCGGGAGGCGGA